ensembl:lncRNA
AACAAACGCAGCAGUAAAACAGGCUGGCCCACUGGUCCUAGCAUCAUAUAUAAACCCACAGGCUCUGUCUGUAAACAUACACAGGUGGGGGAAAAUUCUCGCAGUGAAAAGGCAAGCUGGUCAACCAAAGUGAAACUGCUGACAUGAAACUCGAGUUGCUUGUUGUGGUGGCUGUGGCAGUUCUGCUGCCCAGUUUUUCUGAGAGCCGGAUCGUUUCCAAAUGCGAGCUCAGAGAAAAGCUCGGUGAAAUGCUUGAUCUGCCCAGGAGACUGAAGGAAAGAACGUUGGCAACAGGCUUUUGUUAUGCAGCUGCAGAGUCUGAAGGUGUGCCCUGUGCAGAAGUGAUUGAUGAAGAUCUGACAGAAGUGGGGAGCGGACAGACAGCAUCACGGAAGCUAAAGGGCAGACGAAGUAUUGUGUGUGCAAUGAACAGGGCAGAGCAGAAAUAAACACAACACUGCUCGAUAAGAUUGUUAAGGUUUGCUGUGUUUUGGUGAAUAUGUGCCCCAGUGUGGUUGUCAAACCAGGGCCAAAUGAAACUUGCUCUUGUUGACUAUUCAUAAAGCUGUUGUGUUGCAUGUGUAGUUCAUUGUAAAUAAUUGUACUUUGUGUGAAGUAGUUUCAAUAAAACAGAAAAGAAUA